GACGAACGCUGGCGGCGUGCUUAAUACAUGCAAGUCAACGAUAACCAGGGUGCUUGCAUCCUGGGGAAAGGUGGCGCACGGGUGCGUAACGCGUAGGUAAUCUGCCCUUAGGACUGACAUAACUCCGGGGAAACCGGGGCUAAUAUCAGAUAAUGCAGCGGCUCGGCAUCGAGACAGUUGUUAAAAGUCUUCGGAGCCUAAGGAUGAACCUGCGUCCCAUUAGGUAGUUGGUGAGGUAAAUGCUCACCAAGCCUGCGAUGGGUAGCUGGUCUGAGAGGAUGAUCAGCCACACUGGAACUGAGACACGGUCCAGACUCCUACGGGAGGCAGCAGUAAGGAAUAUUGCUCAAUGGGAGAAAUCCUGAAGCAGCAACGCCGCGUGGAGGAUGAAGGCAUAUUUGUCGUAAACUCCUGUAAGAA
rnacentral:rRNA from 1 species